UACGGAGGGUGCAAGCGUUGCUCGGAAUCAUUGGGCGUAAAGCGCACGUAGGCGGACCGCUAAGUCGGAUGUGAAAGCCCUCGGCUUAACCGAGGAAGUGCAUUCGAAACUGACAGUCUUGAGUAUGGAAGAGGGUCGCGGAAUUCCCGGUGUAGAGGUGAAAUUCGUAGAUAUCGGGAGGAACACCAGUGGCGAAGGCGGCGACCUGGGCCAAUACUGACGCUGAGGUGCGAAAGCGUGGGGAGCAAACAGG
rnacentral:rRNA from 1 species